AGAGUUUGAUCCUGGCUCAAAAUGAACGCUGGCGGCGUGCUUUACACAUGCAAGUCGAGCGAGGCGGGGAGCACUCCCCAGUCGAGCGGCGAACGGGUGAGUAACGCGUGGAUAACCUGCCCUUCAGCGGGGAAUAACCCGGGGAAACUCGAGCUAAUACCGCAUACGACCGAGAGGUGAAGGGGGGCCGCAAGGCUUCCACUGAAGGAGGGGUCCGCGUUCGAUUAGCUAGUUGGUAGGGUAAUGGCCUACCAAGGCGACGAUCGAUAGCCGGCCUGAGAGGGUGAUCGGCCACACUGGAACUGAGACACGGUCCACACUCCUACGGGAGGCAGCAGUGGGGAAUUUUGCGCAAUGGGCUAACGCCUGACGCACCACCGCCGCGUGGAGGAUGAAGGUCUUUGGAUUGUAAACUCCUGUCAGCAGGGAAAAAGCGACUCAGGUUAAUACCCUGGGGAGUUGAUUGUACCUGUAGAGGAAGCCCCGGCUAACUCUGUGCCAGCAGCCGCGGUAAUACAGAGGGGGCAAGCGUUAUUCUUAAUUAUUGGGCGUAAAGGGCGCGUAGGCGGCUUUGCAAGUGGCGGGUGACAUCCCUCGGCUUAACCGAGGAACUGCCUGCCAGACUGCAUGGCUUGAGACCGGGAGAGGUGAGUGUAUUUCCCAGUGUAGCGGUGAAAUGCGUAUAUAUUGGGAGGAACACCAGUGGCGAGGGCGGCUCACUGGC
rnacentral:rRNA from 1 species